ACGGAAGAACGGAAGGCCAAGGUCGACCCAGAAGAGAAGGAUCGAUCUCCCGACCAGGAUUCCCAGCACGGGCACUAGGUACCCACGCGAAGCAUAAGCCACUAUAAGGGCAGAAGCGUUGUGGGCCUGCGAGACCCGAGUCUUCACCGGCAAGGACCCUGCACAGGUUGCAAGGACGACCCGAGGAUAUUCGGACUCUCGCCGAGGCCACCCACACAACCCACCUUUGCACGCUUGGUAACCGGUUGUCCGUGCUAACGGGCGGCGAAGUCGACACCAGUCGGCAGCGCCGCCCGUUUCACAUA
rnacentral:ncRNA from 1 species